CUCCUCUUAGGAUGUCUUCAUC
rnacentral:siRNA from 1 species